rnacentral:rRNA from 1 species
GACGAACGCUGGCGGCGUGCUUAACACAUGCAAGUCGAACGGAAAGGCCCUGCUUGCAGGGUACUCGAGUGGCGAACGGGUGAGUAACACGCGGGUGAUCUGCCCUGCACUUCGGGAUAAGCUUGGGAAACUGGGUCUAAUACCGGAUAGGAGCCAUCUUUAGUGUGGUGGUUGGAAAGUUUUUUCGGUGUAGGAUGAGCUCGCGGCCUAUCAGCUUGUUGGUGGGGUAAUGGCCUACCAAGGCGGCGACGGGUAGCCGGCCUGAGAGGGUGUACGGCCACAUUGGGACUGAGAUACGGCCCAGACUCCUACGGGAGGCAGCAGUGGGGAAUAUUGCACAAUGGGCGCAAGCCUGAUGCAGCGACGCCGCGUGGGGGAUGAAGGCCUUCGGGUUGUAAACUCCUUUCGCUAGGGACGAAGCUUUUUUGUGACGGUACCUAGAUAAGAAGCACCGGCUAACUACGUG